rnacentral:SRP_RNA from 2 species
CGCGGCCCCUCACGUGGUGUCAUCUUACUGAACUCCCCCAGGGCAGGAAUGCAGCAAGGGUAAGUGAGCUCUGGCAGGUGCGUGAGGGGCUCUUUCG